rfam:Lupinus angustifolius cultivar Tanjil chromosome LG03, whole genome shotgun sequence.
GUUUUAAGGUUGGAGUUCCCUUCGCUCCAAUCCUAAAGUAGAUGAUAGUAAACCUCUGCUGCUAAUUCAUGGAUACCUAUGGCUUUGUAACAACACGUGUUACAAAGGUCAAGGGUUUGCAUGAAUUGGGAGAUGAGGUUACACUUGUCUUUUGGUAUUGGAGUGAAGGGAACUCCAACUACUACUCUC